rnacentral:tRNA from 2 species
GCGGGUGUAGCUCAGGGGAUAGAGCACUGGUUUCCGGAACCAGGUGUCGGGGGUUCGAAUCCCUCCACCCGCACCA